rnacentral:other from 1 species
AGUGCCCUGCAAUGCCCGUGAAAAGGCCGCAAGUUCUGAGCCAACACCAAUACAAAGGGAGCCUGGUCUCUGGACGUGGCUUGUAGGCCCCUGCGAGGGGAAACAAAAAGCGUCCAGGAGGGCACCCACCUUUCGAGAGAGGGUUCAUGGAAACUGCGGCACCUCACGGCAUGUGUGGGGUUUUA